UUAGGCAUUCACAAGCCCAGAGUUCUUCCAAAGGGUGUGAUGUCUUCGCAGGACACUCAAAUAAGAUAUGCCAUGCUGCUCCAGAUUGCCCAGGACUGAGUCCCUCGAGGGGAGCCCCUGCAAAAUCUGGUAAGAAGAACAUUUUGAAUGGCAAGCUAUUUCUACUAUUUGCAUGCUUGUGUACUUUUUAAUGAGUUGUUUAGACAGGACUGUGUAGAAGGCAGUACUCUGAUACUAGUAUGGGCUAAUGUUAGCAGAAAAUUCAGAUAUGGAAAGCCUUAAAGACUGGAAACAAAACUUUCAUUAAAAGUAGCAGUUUACUACC